ACUCCUACGGGAGGCAGCAGUGGGGAAUAUUGCACAAUGGGCGCAAGCCUGAUGCAGCCAUGCCGCGUGUAUGAAGAAAGGCCUUCGGGUUGUAAAGUACUUUCAGCAGUGAGGAAGGCAGGUACGUUAAUAGCGUGCUUGUUUGACGUUAGCUGCAGAAGAAGCACCGGCUAACUCCGUGCCAGCAGCCGCGGUAAUACGGAGGGUGCGAGCGUUAAUCGGAAUUACUGGGCGUAAAGCGCAUGCAGGUGGUUUGUUAAGUCAGAUGUGAAAGCCCGGGGCUCAACCUCGGAAUUGCAUUUGAAACUGGCAGGACUAGAGUACUGUAGAGGGGGGUAGAAUUUCAGGUGUAGCGGUGAAAUGCGUAGAGAUCUGAAGGAAUACCGGUGGCGAAGGCGGCCCCCCUGGACAGAUACUGACACUCAGAUGCGAAAGCGUGGGGAGCAAACAGGAUUAGAUACCCUGGUAGGAUAGCG
rnacentral:rRNA from 1 species